UACGGAGGGUGCAAACGUUGCUCGGAAUUAUUGGGCGUAAAGCGCACGUAGGCGGGUCAUCAAGUCGGAUGUGAAAUCCCUCGGCUUAACCGAGGACGUGCAUUCGAUACUGACGACCUUGAGUACGAAAGAGGAUCGCGGAAUUCCCGGUGUAGAGGUGAAAUUCGUAGAUAUCGGGAGGAACACCAGUGGCGAAGGCGGCGAUCUGGGUCGAUACUGACGCUGAGGUGCGAAAGCGUGGGGAGCAAACAGG
rnacentral:rRNA from 1 species